GUCACAAAACAUUGAAAACCUCACAGUAAAUUUUUACUUACAGGUACUUCUGGCGUGAGACGGGAAAAUCCAGUCUUGAGUCUUGUACCAAAUCAAUGUACAUCUGUAGAAAAGGCAAUUCUAGAAACACUAGAGAAAAUGGACCUGAAGAUCAACCACCUGACUUCACUGGUCCAGUCUCUAGUGGGAAACAGGCGCUUUUUACCCCCAGUGGCAGUGCAAAAUGAUGAAGAAGAUGGCAUCUUUCCGCUUGCAUCCACUGAGGAUCUAGACCGGCUGGAACAAAGUCUGUCAGACAGAGGGUUUCUGCAGAGAAUGGUGAACAGAUUAUCCAUCAGCGGCGGGCCAACAAUGAAGAAGACCGUCUGGAGAAUCUGCUCCAAGGUCUUCAGCACUAAUGUCGCCCGCCAACUGAACUGGUGUGGGAGAGGAGACGAGCGGGGGAUCAGAAAGACAAACAUCGGGUCACUGUUAACCGCUUCAGCCAUGAGGAAUCCCGUCCUGCCGUCUCCAACGGAAGCAGAGGCGGAGAAAUUUAUCAAAGAUUUCCAACACUUGACUCCAGGGAGGGUGUAAUUGUUUAUUUAAAUUAAAUGUAUGUUAUUAAAGUGUAUUGUUUUGUUAAAAUAUAUGUUAUGGAGUUGUGUUAAUAUGGAUUUUUAUAAUUAAUUAAAAGUUGUAAUUGAUAUAAUAAAUUAGAAAUACGUUUUUUGCCUA